rnacentral:rRNA from 1 species
UAGGGAAUCUUCGGCAAUGGACGGAAGUCUGACCGAGCAACGCCGCGUGAGUGAAGAAGGUUUUCGGAUCGUAAAGCUCUGUUGUAAGAGAAGAACGAGUGUGAGAGUGGAAAGUUCACACUGUGACGGUAUCUUACCAGAAAGGGACGGCUAACUACGUGCCAGCAGCCGCGGUAAUACGUAGGUCCCGAGCGUUGUCCGGAUUUAUUGGGCGUAAAGCGAGCGCAGGCGGUUAGAUAAGUCUGAAGUUAAAGGCUGUGGCUUAACCAUAGUACGCUUUGGAAACUGUUUAACUUGAGUGCAAGAGGGGAGAGUGGAAUUCCAUGUGUAGCGGUGAAAUGCGUAGAUAUAUGGAGGAACACCGGUGGCGAAAGCAGCUCUCUGGCUUGUAACUGACGCUGAGGCUCGAAAGCGUGGGGAGCAAACAGGAUUAGAUACCCUGGUAGUCCACGCCGUAAACGAUGAGUGCUAGGUGUUAGACCCUUUCCGGGGUUUAGUGCCGUAGCUAACGCAUUAAGCACUCCGCCUGGGGAGUACGACCGCAAGGUUG